rnacentral:rRNA from 1 species
AUUGAACGCUGGCGGCAUGCCUUACACAUGCAAGUCGAACGGUAACGCGGGGCAACCUGGCGACGAGUGGCGAACGGGUGAGUAAUGCAUCAGAACGUGCCCAGUAGUGGGGGAUAGCCCGGCGAAAGCCGGAUUAAUACCGCAUACGACCUACGGGUGAAAGCGGGGGACUCGCAAGAGCCUCGCGCUAUUGGAGCGGCCGAUGUCAGAUUAGGUAGUUGGUGGGGUAAAAAGCCUACCAAGCCGACGAUCUGUAGCUGGUCUGAGAGGACGACCAGCCACACUGGGACUGAGACACGGCCCAGACUCCUACGGGAGGCAGCAGUGGGGAAUUUUGGACAAUGGGCGCAAGCCUGAUCCAGCCAUGCCGCGUGCGGGAAGAAGGCCUUCGGGUUGUAAACCGCUUUGUCAGGAAGAAACGCUCUGGGCUAAUACCUGGGUAACUGACGGUACCUGAAGAAUAAGCACCGGCUAACUACGUGCCAGCAGCCGCGGUAA